CCAGCCCUGGGACUACAGCAUUCAACAUUAAACCACUUUUUUAAAAAAACAAAACCAAACGAUCCUUUAAUAAAAUUAGCCCAUUAAAUCUCCCCACUUAAGGUUCUAAACUUGUAAUAGCUGCAAAAGUUCCAGUUCAGAAGCCAGAGGCUCAGUCCAGACAGGGAUUCACCGGCUUGUGCUGGUAUCUAGGUGUUUGGGUUGUAGUUGAGUCGCUGGGGAAGAGGGGAUGGAUGGCUAGGCCCGGCUGCCAGUCGCCUGCGGCAGGUAUAGAACUCUUGUCCACAGGCCGGUAAGCGUCUCUCUGACCCUUGCCGGGAGGUAUUCCUAGAGAAACUGGGUUCACAUUACAACCAUUUUUGGCCCCGCCACACCACACUGGCCUACGAAUGGCGACAGGGUCAACUGGUAUGAGGCCAGCAACGGUGACACCGAAGGAAACAAUGUGAUCCAUUUCUCCUCCUCUAAGCCCGGCAAUCAAGUCACUUUUCAAAGGUCCAGGCGAGGGCUAAGCACCAAGCUGAAGCAAAGACGCCGGGGCUGUAGCUGCGGAGGGACUAACCUUCAAGCCCACCGCGGCCGGACGUCUGAGCGAGGGGCCGAGACUCCGGGAAGGCGCCGCAGCCUCUCCGCACGGAGCCGUCGUCCACAACCGAGAACGGCGAAGCGAUGUCACGAGCUCCGGGAUGGGCAGGUGCCGCGGCGCCCGCGUCCUCCGUGGCAGAACCGGAGGCCGUGCGGGGUAAGGGGAAGAGUGGCGCGAGGGCGGGGAGGGGAGAGGAGGGAAAGAGAAAGGAUGGGGACGCGGCAAGCCGCCGCAGCCCGAAGUGGCUCAGCUCUUUCUGUGAGGGAGGUGGUGGCCCUUAAAAGGGCCUUUGUGGAGGUGUGGGGAGGGCUGGGCGGCCUCGGCGCGGGCCCCCUCAGUACUCCUGAGAGGCCUGCGAGGCCUUCUUGCCGACCGCCGGCGCCUUGGGCCCCACGGUGGCGCUGCUCUUCUUGGGCAGCAGCACGGCCUGGAUGUUGGGCAGGACGCCGCCCUGCGCGAUGGUCACGCCGCCCAGCAGCUUGUUGAGCUCCUCGUCGUUGCGGAUGGCCAGCUGCAGGUGGCGCGGGAUGAUGCGCGUCUUCUUGUUGUCGCGGGCCGCGUUGCCCGCCAGCUCCAGGAUCUCGGCAGUGAGGUACUCGAGCACCGCUGCCAGGUACACCGGCGCGCCUGCGCCCACGCGCUCGGCGUAGUGGCCUUUCCGCAGCAGCCGGUGUACGCGGCCUACAGGGAACUGAAGGCCGGCGCGUGAAGAGCGCGACUUGGCCUUGGCGCGGGCCUUGCCGCCGGUCUUGCCGCGUCCGGACAUAGUGUACGAGGUAGAAGAGCUGCGAACAACGCUGAGAGACCACGAACUACCAACCGCCGCAGUCAACGGUCGCCUGGCCGGCCAAGCCCGGCCUUAUAAACUCCCUGGACACGCCCCCGCUUCCUCCUGAUUGGUUCCUUUUUUAAUACCCACCUCUGGUUGGUUGCAAUUAACCCUUCGGUGACGCGCCUUAGCUGAGAGAACGCGCCCAGUGAUUGGUCCAAUUUGAAAACCUUUUACCCGGGGAAGAAGACAAGGCGGAGUGGCCGCAAGCCGGAGGCUGCUCACCCCUGGAAAUGGCCAAUCCGUGUAGAGCGCGCGAAAUUUAAACGCUACGGCGCGACAACAAAACCUGAAGACUAGAAGGGUGGAGCUUGGAGCUACCUCUACAGUUUCUGGGAAAUUUGAGUCGGUCUUUGGUCUUAAAGGAAAAGGGUCUACACUAUAAGCAGCGUUCUCCUUCCAGGGACCAGAGGUGAAGAUGACUUCAGUUAUGCAGAUCUACUUCACGAAUAGGGAUCUUCUUGAUGUUCCCAAACUCCCCUUGGGCCUGAAAAGGCCUAGGUUUCUCUUUUCCCAAGUUAAGGAUGGCGGCCUCGGGCCUUACCUCCUGUUACCUUGUUACCUUUAAAAUAAAGGUGCCCAGG
rnacentral:lncRNA from 1 species